GCAAGUCGAACGAGAGCGACCGGUGCUUGCACUGGUCAAUCUAGUGGCGAACGGGUGAGUAACACGUGGGUAACCUGCCCAUCAGAGGGGGAUAACAUCCGGAAACGGAUGCUAAAACCGCAUAGGUCUUCGAGCCUCAUGGCUUGAAGAGGAAAAGAGGCGCGAGCUUCUGCUGAUGGAUGGACCCGCGGUGCAUUAGCUAGUUGGUGAGGUAACGGCUCACCAAGGCCGUGAUGCAUAGCCGACCUGAGAGGGUGAGC
rnacentral:rRNA from 1 species